UUUAAACAAUUGUUAUUUUUUGCGUUAAAAGAUAAAAUAACAUUAAUACAUCAUAUCAUACUAGAUAUUUUGCAAUCCACAUUUAUAUCCAUUUUUUGACGCGCUAAACUUUAUGUUUGAAUUAUUAGAGUCAAAAGUGCACGCGCGUGAAUUUCGCGAACCCGUUGCGCGAUAUUUAGCGCCGCGAAUUUAUUAGAUAUUAUAGAAAUAUUAGUGUUUCUAGAUCCUGCGAAGAUUGCAAAUCCGCGGCACCGAAAAAUCCAGUUCGGGCCAAGCAGGAUCGGCUCGAAGAUCCUGCGAAGAUUGCAAAUUCGCGGCACCGAAAACUCCAGUUCAGGAUCGGCUCAAAAACGUAAAUCAAAGGAAUAUGACUGCGAAAUUGAGGAGUGCCAUUUUUUCGUGCAAGCUAUCAAGAAUUAAAAGGAGCAAGAGAUUUUUGCAUUGUGCAACGCCAAAGCAUCGUAGAGUGAGUAAUUGAA